rnacentral:rRNA from 1 species
GGAGUAUGGGCCGUGUCUCAGUCCCAUUGUGGCUGAUCAUCCUCUCAAACCAGCUACUGAUCGUCGCCUUGGUGGUCCAUUACACCCCCAACUAGCUAAUCAGAUGCAGACUCAUCUCCAAGCACCGGAGUUUUCAAGAAUAGCAUUUCAGCUACGCUCAUAUGGGGUAUUAAUAGUCGUUUCCAACUGCUAUCCCCCGCUUGAAGGCAGAUUCUCUACAUUUUACUCACCCGUCCGCCACUUUCCUCCGGUGCAAGCACCGGAUUCUCGUUCGACUUGCAUGUAUGAAGCACGCCGCCAGCGUCGUCCUCGAGCCACUGAUCAAACUACU